rnacentral:tRNA from 4 species
GCGCGAGUGGCGGAAUCGGCAGACGCACAGGACUUAAAAUCCUGGGUCAGCAAUGGCGUGCGGGUUCAAUUCCCGCCUCGCGCACCA